rnacentral:rRNA from 1 species
GUGGGGAAUAUUGGACAAUGGGGGGAACCCUGAUCCAGCCAUGCCGCGUGUGUGAAGAAGGCCUUUUGGUUGUAAAGCACUUUAAGCGAGGAGGAGGCUACCGAGAUUAAUACUCUUGGAUAGUGGACGUUACUCGCAGAAUAAGCACCGGCUAACUCUGUGCCAGCAGCCGCGGUAAUACAGAGGGUGCAAGCGUUAAUCGGAUUUACUGGGCGUAAAGCGCGCGUAGGUGGACAAUUAAGUCAAAUGUGAAAUACCCGAGCUUAACUUGGGAAUUGCAUUCGAUGCUGGUUGGCUAGAGUAUGGGAGAGGAUGGUAGAAUUCCAGGUGUAGCGGUGAAAUGCGUAGAGAUCUGGAGGAAUACCGAUGGCGAAGGCAGCCAUCUGGCCUAAUACUGACACUGAGGUGCGAAAGCAUGGGGAGCAAACAGGAUUAGAUACCCGAGUAGUCC